rnacentral:sRNA from 1 species
CACUUUCAAAAGUAGCCAGCACGUAGUCGGCCUUAAGCCAUGCAUGUUACCUCCAACCUCAGAUUUUCUUUCUGUCUGAGUGUCUGUUUGCAGAUAACUUAAAAUCACCCAUCUGCAUCCCCACUCACCCUCCAGAAAGCAAACGUGGAGAGCUCACUCUGUAGCUGCUGUGGACUCGGCGGUCUGAGCAGCCUCCCCGAGAGCCGUAGUUGCUAGUAGAAGUACACGAAUUAUGUGACAAUUUCUGCCACCGGUAUAUUAGCUGUUUGAAAGGGAAAAUGCCUAUCGAUUUGGUGAUAGACGAUAGAGAAGGAGGAUCAAAAUCAGACAGUGAAGAUAUAACAAGAUCAGCAAAUCUAACCGACCAGCCCUCUUGGAACAGAGAUCAUGAUGACACGGCAUCUACUCGUUCAGGAGGAACCCCAGGCCCUUCCAGCGGUGGCCACACGUCACACAGUGGGGACAACAGCAGUGAGCAAGGUGAUGGCUUGGACAACAGUGUAGCUUCCCCCAGCACAGGUGA